rnacentral:rRNA from 1 species
UUGACCUCAGAUCAGGUAGGAAUACCCGCUGAACUUAAGCAUAUCAAUAAGCGGAGGAAAAGAAACCAACAGGGAUUGCCCUAGUAACGGCGAGUGAAGCGGCAACAGCUCAAAUUUGAAAUCUGGCGCAAGCCCGAGUUGUAAUUUGUAGAGGAUGUUUCUGGCGACGCGCCUUCCGAGUUCCCUGGAACGGGACGCCAUAGAGGGUGAGAGCCCCGUACGGUUGGAUGCCUAGCCUCUGUGAAACUCCUUCGACGAGUCGAGUAGUUUGGGAAUGCUGCUCUAAAUGGGAGGUAUACGUCUUCUAAAGCUAAAUACCGGCCAGAGACCGAUAGCGCACAAGUAGAGUGAUCGAAAGAUGAAAAGCACUUUGAAAAGAGGGUUAAAAAGUACGUGAAAUUGUUGAAAGGGAAGCGUUCAUGACCAGACUUGGGCAGGUUGAUCAUCCGUGGUUCUCCGCGGUGCACUCUGCCUGCCCAGGCCAGCAUCAGUUCGCCCCGGGGGAUAAAGGUUUUGGGAAUGUGGCUCCCUCGGGAGUGUUAUAGCCCACUGCGUAAUACCCUGGGGUGGACUG